ensembl:lncRNA
UGGACGAUGAUCAGUCUUGUUUAAUGUGUGUUAGCCUUGACAUACAUGCACCAUCCUCAUUAUUUCUAGAACACCUAUUGUCAAUUGAACUGUCAUGGCGUCAUCAGAUUUUGUCAGAGACAUAUUGACAAAGUGGGACCUCAGUCAAUGGAUUAAUUUUGAAGAGCAAGAAAUAGACGAAGAAGGUUUUCUCUUACUCGAAGAGAAAGAAUUCAUUAACUUGAUCCCAAAAAUAGGACCACGGACAAAAUUUGCUCACAAACACAAACUUCUAAAGGAACAGAACAAACACAGCAAUGUUGAUGAGAACUUUGAAGUGGCCACGUCAUCAACAGCUUCCAUUAACGCAGCCAAGAGUUCCUCAGGAAAUGUACUUUUUACCUAUAACUAUAUACAUAAAUCCUCACCCCUAAAGGACAUAUUUUAUAUUACAA